AGUGAACGCUGGCGGUAGGCCUAACACGUGCAAGUCGAACGGCAGCACAGUAAGAGCUUGCUCUUACGGGUGGCGAGUGGCGGACGGGCGAGGAAUACAUCGGAAUCUACUUUUUCGUGGGGGAUAACGUAAGGAAACUUACGCUAAUACCGCAUACGACCUACGGGUGAAAGCAGGGGAUCUUCGGACCUUGCGCGAUUGAAUGAGCCGAUGUCGGAUUAGCUAGUUGGCGGGGUAAAGGCCCACCAAGGCGACGAUCCGUAGCUGGUCUGAGAGGAUGAUCAGCCACACUGGAACUGAGACACGGUCCAGACUCCUACGGGAGGCAGCAGUGGGGAAUAUUGGACAAUGGGCGCAAGCCUGAUCCAGCCAUACCGCGUGGGUGAAGAAGGCCUUCGGGUUGUAAAGCCCUUUUGUUGGGAAAGAAAAGCAGCAGGUUAAUACCCCGCUGUUCUGACGGUACCCAAAGAAUAAGCACCGGCUAACUUCGUG
rnacentral:rRNA from 1 species